rnacentral:rRNA from 1 species
UACGUAGGGUGCGAGCGUUGUCCGGAAUUAUUGGGCGUAAAGGGCUCAUAGGCGGUUUGUCGCGUCGGGAGUGAAAUCAUCUGGCUUAACUGGGUGCUUGCUUUCGAUACGGGCAGACUAGAGGUAUGCAGGGGAGAACGGAAUUCCUGGUGUAGCGGUGAAAUGCGCAGAUAUCAGGAGGAACACCGGUGGCGAAGGCGGUUCUCUGGGCAUGACCUGACGCUGAGGAGCGAAAGUGUGGGGAGCGAACAGG